UUCAUGAAAAGCGGUUACAAAAUUGAGACUUGAGAGUACGUGGAAAAGGGUCAUUGGUGCUACUAGCUAGUGGAAUAUUUGAUGCUUCACCCAUUCUUUCUAGUGAAUUGAAAUCUAUCUUCUCCUUUUCAUUUUUUUCCUAUAAAUAGGUGUUAUUGGCUGGUGAGAAACCCAACACUCCCAUGUUCCAAAAAUCAAAACCCAACUCUCAUUUCAUUCUAUAUAUUCGUUCUCAUCCCUUCUCAUCACUCUCCCUACUUCUCUAUGCAUAUAUAUGACUAAUUGACUAUAUAUAUAUUUGUGAUUUUAUUUUUCUUUUUUAUGAACAGUACUUGAAGAAGGAAUAUUGGGGAAACGAGGGAGGGAGGCAUUAGUUGGUAAGGUUGUUGACAGAAGAUAGAGAGCACAGAUGAUGAUAUGCACAUAUACAUGGAACAGGAAUUUAAGCAAUUGCAUCUCACUCCUUUGUGCUCUCUAAGCUUCUGUCAUCCACCUCCACUACCCUCCUUUUUCUCACUACUCGUCCAUAUCCAUAUUACUCCAAUGCUUUAGACGCGCACCAGUUGUGGCUUUUGGAGAUUAUGAAUCUGUUCGUUGAUGGUAUGGAGAAAAGCUAUUAGACUGAGAAGAUGGAAAAAUGAGUUAGCCUGAGCAAGUGCUGUAAUUCUUUCCAUAUACCUCUUCUUUUAGGAAGCUUGAUUAUAUUUUGCUCUACAUAAGUAAUAAGUAAAUCAUAACAUAAUGUGUCUUCAACGAUCAAAGAAUAUUAGAUAGAAUUUGUUUUUUUUUCUUUCCUCUUUUCAUAUAAUUAACUAACGAAGUGAUAAUAUAUAAACACCUCUGAAACACUUUAUCAACAUCUAUUUUUUUUUUUCUUAUCCUAUACAUCAUAUAUCACAUAUAUAUCAUACCUAUUUUUUUCCUUUUUUAACUCUUUUCCCUCUUUAGAUGUUAAAUAACAUUCGGUGUCCUCUAAUCUUUUUCCUAUCUAAAGCAUUAAGAACUUUUUAGAGUUUGGAGGUACUUAUCAGACCUUAAUUAAGGUAAUAUAUUCUCAUCAUUUCUGCUCCUUUCAUGAAAGAAAAAAAAAAUCACUGUCAAACCGUGAUUCGCAGGAAAGGACUAACUACCUCUACCACUUGCUCUGUGGAAUCAAAGGAGCAAAUGAAAAUGGGAAUUUUCUGCAUUAAUUGGAAGACUAUGGAAGCCAGCGAGUUAAACUAAUAAUGUACGGAUCCAAAAUGGGCAUUACAUAUUGUAGGGCAUAUACUUUGCAGGAUUUUCCAAGUGAGUAUACCCCGCAAUUGUUCAGUGAUUCGCAAAGGUGGCCUCUGUAUCAGUCAAUGGACAACGUACGGAUGCAUUACAAAGGGAUCAGGCUUCUCAUUCCAGAUUUCAUGUGAAUAUAUCUAGUCAUUAAUUACAAAUAGUAUUUAUUAUUCACCAACAAACCAAUCCAGCUUAAUUAUAUGUGUUAUUGUUAUCUAACACUUAAUUUCUCUUCUAUCUCACUUUCAUUUUUUUUUCUA